AUUGAACGCUGGCGGCAGGCCUAACACAUGCAAGUCGAGCGGCAGCGGGGGGAAGCUUGCUUCCUCGCCGGCGAGCGGCGGACGGGUGAGUAAUGUCUGGGAAACUGCCCGAUGGAGGGGGAUAACUACUGGAAACGGUAGCUAAUACCGCAUAACGUCUACGGACCAAAGUGGGGACCUUCGGGCCUCACACCAUCGGAUGUGCCCAGAUGGGAUUAGCUGGUAGGUGGGGUAAUGGCUCACCUAGGCGACGAUCCCUAGCUGGUCUGAGAGGAUGACCAGCCACACUGGAACUGAGACACGGUCCAGACUCCUACGGGAGGCAGCAGUGGGGAAUAUUGCACAAUGGGCGCAAGCCUGAUGCAGCCAUGCCGCGUGUGUGAAGAAGGCCUUCGGGUUGUAAAGCACUUUCAGCGAGGAGGAAGGCAGUCGUGUUAAUAGCACGAUUGAUUGACGUUACUCGCAGAAGAAGCACCGGCUAACUCCGUGCCAGCCGCCGCAGUAAAAC
rnacentral:rRNA from 1 species